rnacentral:rRNA from 1 species
AGAGCGAACGCUGGCGGCAGGCCUAACACAUGCAAGUCGAACGGAUCCUUCGGGAUUAGUGGCGGACGGGUGAGUAACACGUGGGAACGUGCCUUUUGGUUCGGAACAACUCAGGGAAACUUGAGCUAAUACCGGAUGUGCCCUUCGGGGGAAAGAUUUAUCGCCAUUAGAGCGGCCCGCGUCUGAUUAGCUAGUUGGUGGGGUAAAGGCCUACCAAGGCUACGAUCAGUAGCUGGUCUGAGAGGACGAUCAGCCACACUGGGAUUGAGAACGGCCCAGACUCCUACGGGGGGCAGCAGUGAGGAAUUUUCGUCAAUGGGGCAACCCUGAACGAGCAACGCCGCGUGCAGGAAGAAGGUUUUCGGAUCGUAAACUGCUUUUCUCGGGGAAGAGAACGGACGGUACCCGAGGAAUCAGCCCCGGCUAACUACGUGCCAGCAGCCGC